rnacentral:rRNA from 1 species
CAGCAGCCGCGGUAAUACGGAGGAUGCAAGCGUUAUCCGGAUUCAUUGGGCGUAAAGGGUCCUGAGGUGGCCUGCUUAGUCUACUGUGAAAGCUCAGGGCUUAACCCUGACAAUGCGGUGGAAACUAGCAGGCUAGAAUACGGUGGGGGCAGGGGGAAUUCCCGGUGUAGCGGUGAAAUGCAUAGAUAUCGGGAGGAACACCAAAGGCGAAGGCACCCUGCUGGGCCGAUAUUGACACUGACAGACGAAAGCUAGGGGAGCAAAGAGGAUUAGAUACCCUUGUAGUCCUAGCUGUAAACGAUGGACACUAAGUGUUGAACGAUUCAAACGUUCAGUGCUGCAGCUA